rnacentral:sRNA from 1 species
UGUUGUUCUGAUUCCGGCCUCCACGCCGA